CUAUUUUGUGUAUAGAUCCCUGCAGUCCCACUGCUAAAUUCUCUGCCAUUUAGGAGUUAAAUCAGUUUGAUUUGGAAGUUCUAGUCACAUCUCCUUGUAUGUAACUUGCAUAGCCUUCCUAAACACUUCCUGAAAAGUAACCUAAGUUCCUUUAUUGCACAGUCUGUUCAAUCUAGAAUUUCUUAUUUAUUUCCCCUGCUCUGUUAAU